AUGAAAGAAUAUGGAGUUGUCCCUUAUGACAAGUUCAACAACCAACCUUGUUUUCCCAUUUUCAUUUCAGAAAAUGGCGUUGUCCUUCUAAUGAACAAACAUACUACCCAACUUGUCCUAUAUGACAUAAAUACUGGUCAGUUGAUUAAUUUAUUGGAAAGCACCAACGCUCUAAGGUUCAAUCUACAUAUUUGCAGUGAGAGUCUUGUAUCACUGUCAUAG